CAAGAAGUGUGAAGAUUACAAAGUCAGAUUUACAUGUCCAAACGAGUUCUGUCAAGUGUCAGAGCAGUGUCGAACACAGUGGCUGAGCAGUGAUGACCCGUCAGAGGAGGGUGAUGUGGAGUCCAUAUUUCAGCUACUGAACACUUUCCCUGAUCAAGUCUGUGUGAACCCAAUCAGUAUUGAGGCCAGGUCAACAAGUGGAAUAUCUGCUGAACACACUGGAGACACCUACCUCUCCUACGAUGCUACUUUUUGGAUUUGCAUGCAUCAAUGAAAAGCAGAGCGGUAAACAAUGUAAGGAUUAUGAGGUGAUGCUGACCUGUCCCUCAGAUUUCUGUCAGGGUUGCAGGACACGCUGGUUCAACAUGGACAAGCCCACACAG